rnacentral:rRNA from 1 species
UACGGAGGGGGCUAGCGUUGUCCGAAGUUACUGGGCGUAAAGCGCGCGUAGGCGGGUUGGUAAGUCCGCUGUGAAAGCCCGGAGCUUAACUCCGGAGGGUCGGUGGAUACUGCCAGUCUUGAAGGUGCUAGGGGGAGAUGGAAUUACCGGUGUAGCGGUGAAAUACGUAGAUAUCGGUAGGAACACCAGUGGCGGAAGGCGGUCGUCCUGGGGCAUUCUUGACGCUGAGGCGCGAAAGCUGGGGGAGCAAACGGG